AUUGCCAGGAAAAACUUUUAUGUGGAAACCAACCAAUGAGUUCUCUGUGAUGAACCCAAUGAAUAUUUGAAGCACUUAUUCUUCUCAUGUGAUUUCAGCCAGAACUUCUGGAUUGCUCUAGGUAUCGAAUGGAACACAUAUUUGAACAUCGUUGGCAUGCUGAUUAAUGCCAAGCAGAGAAACCAGGUUCCAUUUAUCGAAGAUACUGUGAUUGCUGGAUGUUGGAGCAUACGAAAACACAGAAAUAGCAUCAUAUUUGAUUCCAAGACCAGGAAUCAUAACUAUUGUCUCACAUCCUUCAAGGAGCACUUUAGUCUUAUCAUUAAAAAGGCUAGGCCUAGUCCAAAGGAAGGAAUGCAAUCUUGGUUAGAUUACUUGUGA
rnacentral:rRNA from 1 species